rnacentral:rRNA from 1 species
UACAGAGGGUGCGAGCGUUGUUCGGAAUUAUUGGGCGUAAAGCGCUUGUGAGGCGGCUUGUUAAGUUCCGUGUGAAAUCCCCAGGCUUAACCUGGGAAGUGCGCGGAAAACUGGCGAGCUUGAAUGCCGGAGGAGGGUCGCGGAAUUCCCGGUGUAGAGGUGAAAUUCGUAGAUAGUCGGGAGGAACACCAGUGGCGAAGGCGGCGACCUGGACGGACAUUGA